rnacentral:tRNA from 1 species
GGGGGUAUAGCUCAGUGGUAGAGCAUUUGACUGCAUAGUGUAUUCAUUUGUUACUCAAAACACACAUUUAAAUUGAAUUUCACCUA